rnacentral:rRNA from 1 species
UACAGAGGGGGCAAGCGUUAUUCGGAAUUAUUGGGCGUAAAGGGCGCGUAGGCGGCUUGGCAAGUGGAUGGUGAAAUCCCUCGGCUUAACCGAGGAACUGCCAUCCAGACUGCCUUGCUUGAGGCCGGGAGAGGCGAGUGGAAUUCCCAGUGUAGCGGUGAAAUGCGUAGAUAUUGGGAGGAACACCAGUGGCGAAGGCGGCUCGCUGGACCGGUUCUGACGCUGAUGCGCGAAAGCGUGGGGAGCAAACGGG